GACGAACGCUGGCGGCGUGCCUAAUACAUGCAAGUUGAGCGCUGAAGGUUGGUACUUGUACCAACUGGAUGAGCAGCGAACGGGUGAGUAACGCGUGGGGAAUCUGCCUUUGAGCGGGGGACAACAUUUGGAAACGAAUGCUAAUACCGCAUAAAAACUUUAAACACAAGUUUUAAGUUUGAAAGAUGCAAUUGCAUCACUCAAAGAUGAUCCCGCGUUGUAUUAGCUAGUUGGUGAGGUAAAGGCUCACCAAGGCGAUGAUACAUAGCCGACCUGAGAGGGUGAUCGGCCACAUUGGGACUGAGACACGGCCCAAACUCCUACGGGAGGCAGCAGUAGGGAAUCUUCGGCAAUGGACGAAAGUCUGACCGAGCAAAGCCGGGUGAGGGAAGAAGGUUUUCGGAUCGGAAAACUCUGUUGGUAGAGAAGAACGUGGGUGAGAGUGGAAAGCUCAUCAAGUGACGGUAACUAACCAGAAAGGGACGGCUAACUACGUG
rnacentral:rRNA from 1 species